UCUAAUAUGACAGAAAUAUGUGAUGAACUUAAAAUUCAUUUAUAAAGAACUCCUUUUUUUAGAA
rnacentral:tRNA from 1 species